CCUUUGGUCCACUUUGAGCACAGCAGAGUGGAAGGAUUCAAACACGUUUCAGGAUGGAUGCAGAGUUCUUGGUCAAACAAAGCAAAAAGCGGUGCUUUGAAAUCCCAGUGCAGCACAAAGAGUUGUUUACUCAGCACGAGGACUGAGAAACAGGUUGCUGCACAGCCCCACAAAUGUUCUCGCUGGAUCAGCGGUAGAAGGAGCUCUGAGCAGCAGUGCCACCAAACGUUGAACUGUGACUCAUAUCUGACCAGUGCUUCCUUCUUUGAAGAUGCCAACUUACACUGGCCCCGUUUGUGUGGCUGCUUUUGAGCCCGAUGUGCUCAGUGAGCCUGUUCACUACGGGUGUCUCCACGAAGGAUUCCACAGAAGUUUUGUCAGAUGGUGCCCUCCACCCUAAACCCAGCAAACAGGAGUGUUUGUAGGUUUUUUCAUACAAAGAAGCAGGGGGAGAGGGAAGAGGUGUCUCGUGGGUUUCGUCUGUGAUGUCUGGCCAGGGAUUUCUGCAAUAUUACUUCCAUUCUGGUAUUUUAGAUUGCUACCUCUCCUAGUGUCAAAUACUGCUGCAUGUGCUGUGCGAGCAGCAGCGCAGACAGCUCUUCACAAACAUUGUAGUGAUUAAAAACAUGGAGAUGUCCUGGUGAGCACUUACAGGCAAAGUUAGAUCAAAUGAAAACAAACCACGUAGCCUUGCAGGUGACUACUGUAUUGCUGGAGCCAAACUCGCGUGUUGCUGACAGAGACAGUGGGUAGUUGUGCCAAGAGCAUCCAGCUCUGCUUGGGAAGGAGCCCCAGGAGGUGUCUUCCUCCCUCUGCAUCAGUGCUGCAAUGGCGGGCUGUUUGAGGGCUGUGCACGCACCAUGCGUGUGUGUGCACAUGCACGUUGUGCAAGUGCGUGCACCUUAUGUAUGUGCAUAUGCAUGAUGUGCAAGUGCACGCACCUGGUACGUGUGCACAUGCAGGUCGUGCAAGUGCAUGCACCUUGCACGUGUGUGUGCCCGUGCAAGUGCGUGCACCUUACGUGCGUGCACAUGCACGUCGAGUAAGCGCAGGCACCUGGCGCGUGCCCACGCGCAGCGUGUGUCCGCGUGCGUCCCCGCACGUGCCGCGCCGCCGACGCCC
rnacentral:lncRNA from 1 species